GACGAACGCUGGCGGCGUGCUUAACACAUGCCAGUCGAACGGAAAGGCCCUGCUUUUGUGGGGUGCUCGAGUGGCGAACGGGUGAGUAACACGUGAGUAACCUGCCCUUGACUUUGGGAUAACUUCAGGAAACUGGGGCUAAUACCGGAUAGGAGCUCCUGCUGCAUGGUGGGGGUUGGAAAGUUUCGGCGGUUGGGGAUGGACUCGCGGCGUAUCAGCUUGUUGGUGGGGUAGUGGCUUACCAAGGCUUUGACGGGUAGCCGGCCUGAGAGGGUGACCGGCCACAUUGGGACUGGAAUGCGGCACAGACUCCUACGGGAGGCAGCAGUGGGGAAUAUUGCACAAUGGGCGGAAGCCUGAUGCAGCAACGCCGCGUGCGGGAUGACGGCAUUCGGGUUGUAAACCGCUUUCGCCUGUGACGAAGCGUGAGUGACGGUAAUGGGUAAAGAAGCACCGGCUAACUACGUG
rnacentral:rRNA from 1 species